AUUUGGAUGUUAGAGGAAGGGGAUAGAGGGAGAAAGUGCAUUUUUACAUCCAGCACUUUCUCCCUCCAUCCCCUUCCUCUCUUUCUUCUCUAAGU